rnacentral:tRNA from 1 species
GAGGGUAUAGCUCAGUGGUAGAGCGUGUGCUUAGUGCACACAAGGUCCUGAGUUCAAUCCCCAUCACCUCCA